UACGUAGGGUGCGAGCGUUAAUCGGAAUUACUGGGCGUAAAGCGUGCGCAGGCGGUUCGUUAUGUCUGAUGUGAAAGCCCCGGGCUCAACCUGGGAAUUGCAUUGGAAACUAGCGGGCUGGAGUGUGGCAGAGGGGGGUGGAAUUCCACGUGUAGCAGUGAAAUGCGUAGAGAUGUGGAGGAACACCGAUGGCGAAGGCAGCCCCCUGGGCUAACACUGACGCUCAUGCACGAAAGCGUGGGGAGCAAACAGG
rnacentral:rRNA from 1 species